GUCCACGCCCUAAACGAUGUCAACUAGUUGUUAGGGAAGCAAUUCCUUGGUAACGAAGCUAACGCGUGAAGUUGACCGCCUGGGGAGUACGGCCGCAAGGUUAAAACUCAAAGGAAUUGACGGGGACCCGCACAAGCGGUGGAUUAUGUGGAUUAAUUCGAUGCAACGCGAAAAACCUUACCUACCCUUGACAUGUACGGAACCUCGCAGAGAUGUGAGGGUGCCCGAAAGGGAACCGUAACACAGGUGCUGCAUGGCUGUCGU
rnacentral:rRNA from 1 species